rnacentral:rRNA from 1 species
AUUGAACGCUGGCGGCAGGCCUAACACAUGCAAGUCGAACGAGUGGCGGAAGGGUGAGUAAUGUCUGGGAAACUGCCCGAUGGAGGGGGAUAACUACUGGAAACGGUAGCUAAUACCGCCUACCAUCGGAUGUGCCCAGAUGGGAUUAGCUAGUAGGUGGGGUAACAGCUCACCUAGGCGACGAUCCCUAGCUGGUCUGAGAGGAUGAACAGCCCCGCUGGAACUGAUAAACGGCCCAGACUGCUAUGGGAGGCAGCAGUGGGUAAUAUUGGACAAUGGGCUCAAGCCUGAUGCAGACAGGCCGCGUGUAUGAAGAAGGACUUCGGGUUGUAAAGUACUUUCAGCGGGGAGGCGUUACUCGCAGAAGAAGCACCGGCUAACUACGUGCCAGCAGCCGCGGUAAUUC